AACCAUAGAAACCUGCGGAGUACCUGCGGAGGGAUCAUUAUUGGAAGCUUUUAUAUUAUCAAAAGUUGUGGAGGAAGAAGAGAAGAUUUCUCUUUCCUCUGCAUCUUUCAAACAAACAAUCACAACUAUCUGAUUGAUUUGGUUUUGAGAGAGAGGGGAUUGAUUUGAAGGGGAGAGGGGGGGGGGAAAGAAAAAAGUGCUUGCCUGAUAAAAAAGAGACAUAUCAAAGAAUACAACUUU
rnacentral:misc_RNA from 1 species